GAUGAAUGCAGCCUUUGCAGAAAAUAAGAUCAAGCUGAAGAUGAAAGUUUACGACACCUAUGUGAUGAAUGAGGAACAGGACAGGACCCACCUCCAGGAACUUCCUGGUAGACAGGUUCAGUCAAUUGACCCAGAUGUAGCCCAUGAGACACUUAAAACAAAAAUUGUUGAAUACCCUGGGAGCAACGAGUCCGACAUGGUCUUCGUAUUCACGAGGAAGGUGCUCAGGAACGCAACGAAUGAGGAGACGUAUUUAUGUAAGUAUACAAGGCACAGCAAGUAAUAAGCACAGCCUAGUAGAGACA